rnacentral:pre_miRNA from 1 species
CAAAUACUCCCUCCGUCUGGAAAUACUUGUCAUCAAAAUGGAUAAAAGGAAAUGUAUCUAGACAUAUUUUAGUUUUAGAUACAUCUAUUUUUAUCCAUUUUGAUGACAAGUAUUUUCGGACGGAGGGAGUAGAAA